AUGAACGCUAGCUACAGGCUUAACACAUGCAAGUCGCGGGGCAGCAUGGGGGUUGCUUGCAAUCCCCGAUGGCGACCGGCGCACGGGUGAGUAACGCGUAUCCAACCUGCCCUUCACCACGGGAUAACCCGGCGAAAGUCGGACUAAUACCGUAUGUUGUCCAUUGACGGCAUCCGAUUUGGACGAAAGGUUUGGCGGUGAAGGAUGGGGAUGCGUCCGAUUAGCUGGACGGCGGGGUGACGGCCCACCGUGGCGACGAUCAGUAGGGGUUCUGAGAGGAAGGUCCCCCACACUGGAACUGAGACACGGUCCAGACUCCUACGGGAGGCAGCAGUGAGGAAUAUUGGUCAAUGGGCGUAAGCCUGAACCAGCCAAGUAGCGUGCAGGAUGACGGCCCUAUGGGUUGUAAACUGCUUUUAUGCGGGGAUAAAGUGGCCCACGUGUGGGUUUUUGCAGGUACCGCAUGAAUAAGGACCGGCUAAUUCCGUG
rnacentral:rRNA from 1 species